rnacentral:rRNA from 1 species
GACGAACGCUGGCGGCGUGCCUAAUACAUGCAAGUAGAACGCUGAAGAGAGGAGCUUACUCUUCUUGGAUGAGUUGCGAACGGGUGAGUAACGCGUAGGUAACCUGCCUUGUAGCGGGGGAUAACUAUUGGAAACGAUAGCUAAUACCGCAUAACAAUGGAUGACACAUGUCAUUUAUUUGAAAGGGGCAAUUGCUCCACUACAAGAUGGACCUGCGUUGUAUUAGCUAGUAGGUGAGGUAAUGGCUCACCUAGGCGACGAUACAUAGUCGACCUGAGAGGGUGAUCGGCCACACUGGGACUGAGACACGGCCCAGACUCCUACGGGAGGCAGCAGUAGGGAAUCUUCGGCAAUGGGGGCAACCCUGACCGAGCAACGCCGCGUGAGUGAAGAAGGUUUUCGGAUCGUAAAGCUCUGUUGUAAGUCAAGAACGGGUGUGAGAGUGGAAAGUUCACACUGUGACGGUAGCUUACCAGAAAGGGACGGCUAACUACGUG